rnacentral:rRNA from 1 species
CCUACGGGAGGCAGCAGUGAGGAAUAUUGGUCAAUGGUCGGGAGACUGAACCAGCCAAGCCGCGUGAGGGAGGAAGGUACAGAGUAUCGUAAACCUCUUUUGUCAGGGAACAAAGGCGGGGACGUGUCCCCGGAUGAGUGUACCUGAGGAAAAAGCAUCGGCUAACUCCGUGCCAGCACCCGCGGUAAUACGGAGGAUGCGAGCGUUAUCCGGAUUUAUUGGGGUUAAAGGGUGGGCAGGCGGUAUGUUAAGUCAGCGGGCAAGGCCAGUGGCUCAACCCCGGCCCGCCGUUGAAACUGGCAGUCUCGAGUGGGAGAGAAGUAUGCGGAAUGCGCGGUGUAGCGGUGAAAUGCAUAGAUAUCGCGCAGAACUCCGAUUGCGAAGGCAGCAUGCCGGCUCCACACUGACGCUGAGGAACGAAAGCGUGGGUAUCGAACAGGAUUAGAUACCCUUGUAGUC